GACGAACGCUGGCGGCGUGCCUAAUACAUGCAAGUCGAGCGGAUCUCUGAAGGAGCUUGCUCCUGAAGAGGUUAGCGGCGGACGGGUGAGUAACACGUAGGCAACCUGCCCAUAAGACCGGGAUAACAUUCGGAAACGAAUGCUAAGACCGGAUAUGCAGUACCUUCGCAUGGAGGAACUGGGAAACACGGUGCAAGCUGUGGCUUAUGGAUGGGACUGCGGCGCAUUAGCUAGUUGGUGAGGUAACGGCCCACCAAGGCGACGAUGCGUAGCCGACCUGAGAGGGUGAACGGCCACACUGGGACUGAGGCACGGCCCAGACUCCUACGGGAGGCAGCAGUAGGGAAUCUUCCACAAUGGGCGAAAGCCUGAUGGAGCAACGCCGCGUGAGUGAGGAAGGCUUUCGGGUCGUAAAGCUCUGUUGCCAGGGAAGAACGCCUAGGAGAGUAACUGCUCUUAGGGUGACGGUACCUGAGAAGAAAGCCCCGGCUAACUACGUGCCAGCCGCCGCCGUAAAAC
rnacentral:rRNA from 1 species